AGCGAACGCUGGCGGCAGGCCUAACACAUGCAAGUCGAACGAACCUUCCGUGGUUAGUUGCGGUCGGGGGAGUAACACGUGGGAAGGUGCCUGUAGGUACCGAAUACUUCAGUUUAACUUGUGCUAAUACCGAAUGUGCUCUUCGGGGGCAGGAUUCGUCGCCUUUAGAGCGGCCGGCGACUGUUUAGCUAGUUGGUUGUGGUAAUGGCGCACCAAGGCGAGGUUCUGUAGCUGGUCUGAGAGGAUGAUCAGCCACAUCGGGACUAAGACGCGGCCCAAAAUCCUAGGCGAUGGGGCAGAGGGUGAUCCAGCGCAAUGGGGGAAAGCCUGACGGAGCCAUGCCGGGUAAAUGAUGUUGGUGGUAGGAAAGUAAAAUUCUUUCACCGGGGGCGAUAAUGACGGUACCCGGAGAAGAAGCCCCGGCUAACUUCGUG
rnacentral:rRNA from 1 species